UACGUAGGGUGCGAGCGUUGUCCGGAAUUAUUGGGCGUAAAGAGCUCGUAGGCGGUGUGUCACGUCGGCCGUGAAAGCCUGCAGCUUAACUGUGGGCGUGCGGUCGAUACGGGCAUCACUGGAGUUCGGCAGGGGAGACUGGAAUUCCUGGUGUAGCGGUGAAAUGCGCAGAUAUCUGGAGGAACACCGGUGGCGAAGGCGGCAUCCUGGACCGAGAUUGACGCUGAGGCGCGAAAGCCAGGGGAGCAAACGGG
rnacentral:rRNA from 1 species